UACCUAUAAGACUGGGAUAACUUCGGGAAACCGGAGCUAAUACCGGAUAACAUAUUGAACCGCAUGGUUCAAUAGUGAAAGGCGGCUUUGCUGUCACUUAUAGAUGGAUCCGCGCCGUAUUAGCUAGUUGGUAAGGUAACGGCUUACCAAGGCAACGAUACGUAGCCGACCUGAGAGGGUGAUCGGCCACACUGGAACUGAGACACGGUCCAGACUCCUACGGGAGGCAGCAGUAGGGAAUCUUCCGCAAUGGGCGAAAGCCUGACGGAGCAACGCCGCGUGAGUGAUGAAGGUCUUCGGAUCGUAAAACUCUGUUAUCAGGGAAGAACAAAUGUGUAAGUAACUGUGCACAUCUGACGGU
rnacentral:rRNA from 1 species